GUCGUGACUUCGGACGAAAGAGAGAUUGAUAAUUAUGAGGUAAGUUAUCGUACAUUUCUUAACAUUGAGGGCGUGUCCAUCUAUCUCAGGAGAAGAAUAAAAGAAUUAGCAAGGAGGGGAUUCAGAAUUGGCUGAAUUUGUCCAAAACUGUUUUACUUUGUUUUGCUUUGUUAAAAAAAAAAACUAAACAAACCUCGAAGUGGAUGUAUUUCAAGGCGCUGUGGAACUUUUGAAAAUGCUGAUGUCUUUGCUCUUUGCAUCGUUGGCCGGGAAAUAAGAUACCAAUAAUGCACAUGCUCAGUGAAUGCACUAUUUCUAUUGGCGACCCGUGUCCACUUGUUUUCACUUUUAUGAUCAGUUACCAGAAGAAACGGGGACUCUAGGAUCUAGGAUCUGGAAGGGAAACUAAAAUUCCCUCAGGGUAUUGAUAAAGAAGGAUGGGGGUCUGAAAGGUUGUGUAACAGCUAUUUUUACGUCUACUGAGUUAGCAUCUAUCAGCCGCCAGAAGGAGUUUCUAAAGCUGACCUUUGGAGCGUUUGCCCUUCGCCACUAGAGAAUCAGAGCCAAGAGCCAAAGCUCAGAACCUCAGCUUUGAAAAGUCUUUACGGAAGCUGAUUUACAUGGGCAACUCACUUGGAUGGUACAUUUGAAACUAUUGACACAGUUGGAGAUGGUGGUAUUUCACCAGUUGAGUUGGCGGAAGGACUUGAUAUCUCUAUACUGAUUGCUAACCGAUAUGUGGUAGCUUUUGACGCGAAUCGAGACGAAGAGCUUGAUUCUAAGGAGUUUUCAAACUUACCACUACAUGAACAGUAAUGCCAUAGUUAAACCUCAAUAAAUGGGUGCAGUUCACAAGAAAGUGCCAGGAAGCGCCCACAAAA